rnacentral:tRNA from 1 species
GGGGAUUUAGCUCAGUGGUAGGGUGCUUGCCUAGCAAGCGCGAGGCCCUGGGUUCGAUCCCCAGCUCCG